GAUGAAGAACGCAGCGAAAUGCGAUAAGUAGUGUGAAUUGCAGAAUUCAGUGAAUCAUCGAAUCUUUGAACGCACAUUGCGCCCUUUGGUAUUCCUUAGGGCAUGCCUGUUCGAGCGUCAUUUAAACCUUCAAGCUAAGCUUGGUGUUGGGUGACUGUCCGCUUCACGGCGGACUCGCCUCAAAAUUAUUGGCGGCCGGUACAUUGGCUUCGAGCGCAGCAGAAACGCGAACUCGGGCCCGUCGUAUUGGCUCCCAGAAGCUAUCUUCACAAUUUUGACCUCGGAUCAGGUAGGGAUACCCGCUGAACUUAAGCAUAUCAGUAAGCGGAGGA
rnacentral:misc_RNA from 1 species